CGUAAGAAGGUUUGAAAAAAAUAUAAUUGUAGAUGGAUGUUGACAUGACAUACAAAACAGUAGAAACGAAUCCGUAAAGCUCAGGAGGGAUAGCGCCUAUUUACUACAUAUGUCAUGUAUUAUACCAAUCAAAGGCGCUAUCUAUCUUGAGCCUCACGGCUUCUUUUUACUCGAUCUCUCCCAAAACCAUUUCCGGCAACGAAUCUUUUGAAGACCUUAUCCCGGGCUCUUUAAUGUAUUCACUAUUCAGAUGUUGACUCCUUUCGUAACUACGUUCGCACCACGUCUGAUUUAUUAGUAUAUUUUAUUCCUCAAUAUUACAAAUAUCCGAAUUCUACGUAAUAUUAACCUUUUUUUUUAAAAAAAAAGUAUACUUCAAUAACAGGUUUCAGGAAAAAGGUCAAACAAUACACAACCUCCAACCCAAGCGGGUAAAGGGUAAACAAAUUACAACAUAUGCAACGGGUAUUUACACCACUUCCCUCAACUAAGACCGUAUGUAAUGGAAGAUCCAAAUAAUGCCCCACCCCUGUGCGUUUUAUGCCAUGUAUCAGUCCAGUCAACAAUGAGGCAUUAUUAGGCAUUAUGUUAAAAGAUGUGUGGGAUAAUGCCCCAUAACUUCGGGGUUUGGGUGAGUAGACGCUUCAUCGAAGUAAUCUUUCAUCAACCGAUCGUUUGCCGCAUGUUGGUCUCGUUCAAUAUAUUCUCUUGAGAAAAUUUCACGUUGAGGCUGGCUACAAUGCUUCAUAUACCGAACUGCGAGGUCGCACGCACUCGUAACCGCCUCUUGCUCGACCUCCUCAUCGGUCGAGUCACCCUCAUCCGCUAAAAUGUCUUUGUAAUAAAAAUUUGCAAUAGACGACAAGGAGGUGGGGGAAUCCAUUUUUUUUUUUAUAAAAAAUGGGGUGUAAAAGGUUUGUUAUUUGGUGUUGUAAGUGUAGGUAUUUGGUUUGUAUAAAAUGGGUGUAAAAAGUUUUUUGUG